rnacentral:rRNA from 1 species
CUGCUGCCUUCCGUAGGAGUCUGGGCCGUGUCUCAGUCCCAAUGUGGCCGGUCACUCUCUCAAGCCGGCUACUGAUCGUUGCUUUGGUAGGCCGUUACCCUGCCAACUGGCUAAUCAGACGCGGGGCCAUCGUAUGCCGAUAAAUCUUUUCACACCAUGCCAUGCAGCAUUGUGUGCUUAUGCGGUAUUAGCAGUCAUUUCUGACUGUUGUCCCCCUGCAUACGGUAGGUUCCCCACGG